ensembl:lncRNA
CUGUUCACUGGAGUGGAGUAUCUUAACCAUGGAGAGGCAGCUUGUUUCCAUAGGUUUAUGCUGUUAGCAGUAAGCAGUCAGAUCUAUUUUUCCUUUCUAGGUUGUUCCUGUUAGCCCUGAUAUGUUUCCUUUACAAUUGGCAUGUUCAAUGUGAAGACUGAGUCCAUAUCUUCAUACAGAAUUGAAUGUGACUCCACAAGGGAACUGGCAGAUUUUGCAGAAUAUUUAUUGAAGAAUUCACCUAAGAUUACUUUUGACUGCACAGGCAUGAAUUAUUAAAACAACAACAACAACAACAAAAUCCCACAAUGUGUUAGCAAAGCUACUUAUUCCUGCUGCUAAAAGGAAAAUAGGAUCUAACAAUCCUUUUCUGGUGCCAAAGCCACUGCUACGGAAUGAACACAUCCUUCCUGCAGUAGUCUGAUUGAUCCCUGUAUCCAACAGUUCAAAAGAAUCCGCUGCUCAAAGGACUAAAAUUGGUAUUCGUUUAAGAUUUACUGGCAAACCAAAGCUCCUUCAUGUAACAGCAGAUGUUGUUCUGCCUUUCAGCUCUGUAGCACAACAAAGUGAUGCUGAACAAGUUCAAACUCAGGAUGACCUUGAUGGCACACAACAUCUUAACUCUGGCAUUUCCUCACUCAGAAUCCUACUUAGCCCAUGAGCAACAGCGAAUGUCACUGAACUCAGCCAGAGCUUGUAGUUCCACUUUGAAGCAGGACACGUAUACCUAAGACAUGGCCUAAAUGAAAAAUUCCAAAUAGUCUAGCAUACUGUAGUCCUUUGUACAGUUACUGUUAUGGCAGACUUUGUAGCUUGUCAAACUCUAUUGCCUUUAAAAACUCAGUCCUGCUGAAGCAAAGCACAACUCAUACACCUAUGUAUUUCCUUUCAGGGUUAGGGAGACUGAAAAGAUUUUAAUAGAUUGCUUUGAGGAACACGGAAAAUGGAAAAUUGUCUUUUUUUUUUUUUAAAUUUGUAAAUGAGACAAGAAAGCAGUCAAUGGAAUGGUGACAUGUGAAUUCCUCACUGAAGUUCAAACCGCAACCCUCAGCAGGUGAAGUGAUAUGCACUGGCUUUUUCAGAUAGGAAAGGGGUGAACUUUAUCGACUCCCUGUAAGUUGGACACACCAUUAACU